AUCUUCACCAUGUUAAUUUGAGAUUAAAUCCAGCAUUCUGCUGCAACCUACUGAUGGCUCGAAGAACUGCAAAUUUUGUUUUCAUGAAUUACUCCAUGGAGUCCAGGGAAAGGAAAUGAAAAUAUUUCGUUGAUUUUAUUCUGGGCUUCAUCAUUUAAUUGAGGGAUUUGAAUUUAAACGGAUACUAUGUGUUUCUAGGCGUACCACUCUCCCGAUAGGAAUUCCCCUUUGAAGUCAAUGGAACCACUGAGUGCUGAGGGGAAGAUACGUCAGCACUGCCUUGCCAUCAACCUUGUGGCUUCUCUCUGGAAGAUGAAUUGGGCCAUUGAUGGUCUGUUCUAGGAAAACCACAACAUCUUUAGACAUGAUCAAGUCGAAUGCUAAACUCAGAAGACAGUGGAAAUGAUUGAAGGUAAAACGUUUUAUAUCGAAUGCAUUUUUUUCAAAAGCAAAUGUUUCUCUAUGAAUUUCAAGAGCUUUGUUAGCAACAAUUCUACACACAAAUUCCCACUUCAGAGUCACUGAGUAAUUUGUUUUUGGCAGAAUAACAAUUUUGACUGUUUUCUUUUCA